rnacentral:rRNA from 1 species
UCGGAUCAUUAAAAAAUAAUCACACACACAUGAUUUUAAUAAUCAUCCUACCCUUUGUGAAUUUGUUUUGUUUGAAAAUUUAUGUUGUCUAUCCCUGGUGGUUUUGGAAAAGUUGAAAAACUUUUUCGAAUCCCCAGGGACUAGGCUUUCAUAGACCUUUUUUUAAAUUAAACUUUUUGUAUUCAUUUGUCUAAAAUUUAUUUUUAAUAAUUUAAAAACAAUUUUUGACAAUGGAUCUCUUGGUUCUCGCAACGAUGAAGAACGCAGCAAAAUGCGAUAAGUAAUGUGAAUUGCAGAAUACGUGAAUCAUCAAAUCUUCGAACGCAUAUUGCACUUUUCUAGUUUACUAGAAAAGUAUGUCUGUUUGAGUAUCAGUAAAAUAUUCUCAUAAAAACAUUGUUUUUAUGGUUAUGAGUGUUUUACAACGAUAAACAAGUUGUUUUACUUUAAAUUGAUUUUUAAAAGCCAAUUUUUGGUUUUAUCUAAUAAAAUUGGAUAAAAUUUUCCCGUAAAAAGGAAUAACUUUUCAGUUUUAAUAGUUAAAACUUAAUUGUGCCUAAUUAUAAGGAAAUUUAACAAAUUAACUUGAUCUCAAAUCUUU